AGUAGCGUGCAGGAUGACGGCCCUAUGGGUUGUAAACUGCUUUUAUAAGGGAAUAAAGUGAGCCUCGUGAGGCUUUUUGCAUGUACCUUAUGAAUAAGGACCGGCUAAUUCCGUGCCAGCAGCCGCGGUAAUACGGAAGGUCCGGGCGUUAUCCGGAUUUAUUGGGUUUAAAGGGAGCGUAGGCCGGAGAUUAAGCGUGUUGUGAAAUGUAGAUGCUCAACAUCUGCACUGCAGCGCGAACUGGUUUCCUUGAGUACGCACAGAGUGGGCGGAAUUCGUGGUGUAGCGGUGAAAUGCUUAGAUAUCACGAAGAACUCCGAUUGCGAAGGCAGCUCACUGGAGCGCAACUGACGCUGAAGCUCGAAAGUGCGGGUAUCGAACAGGAUUAGAUACCCUGGUAGUCCGCACGGUAAACGAUGGAUGCCCGCUGUUGGUCUGAAUAGGUCAGCGGCCAAGCGAAAGCAUUAAGCAUCCCACCUGGGGAGUACGCCGGCAACGGUGCAACUCAAAGGAA
rnacentral:rRNA from 1 species